GGCUCCGUGGUGUAGCGGUUAACACGCCUGCCUGUCACGUAGGAGAUCGCCGGUUCGAAUCCGGUCGGGGCCG
rnacentral:tRNA from 1 species